UACGGAGGGUGCAAGCGUUAUCCGGAAUUACUGGGUUUAAAGGGUGCGUAGGCGGCUUUAUAAGUCAGGGGUGAAAGCUUGCCGCUUAACGGUAAAAUUGCCUUUGAUACUGUAGAGCUUGAAAGAGGUUGAGGUCAGCAGAAUGUGGCAUGUAGCGGUGAAAGGCAUAGAUAUGCCAUAGAACACCGAUUGCGAAGGCAGCUGGCUGGGCCUACUUUGAAGAUGAGGAAAGAAAGAGUGGGGAGAGAACAGG
rnacentral:rRNA from 1 species